rnacentral:rRNA from 1 species
AUUGAACGCUGGCGGCAUGCCUUACACAUGCCAGUCGAACGGUAAAAGCAAUCUGGUGGCUGACGUGAGGCGAACGGGUGAGUAAAAUAUCGGAAAGUGCCCCGGAGUGGGGGAGAAAUACUCGAGAGAGUAGCUCAAACCGCACGAGCGUCAAGGAUGAAAGAAGGGGAGCUCCGGGCCCUUCGCUCUAACAGCGGCGGAUAGGUCAGAUUAGAUAGUUGGUGGGAUAAAGGCUUACCAAGGCGACGAUCUGUAACUGGUCUGAGAGGACGAACAGUCACACUGGAACUGAGACACGGCCCAGACUCCUACGGGAGGCAGCAGUGGGGAAUUUUGGACAAUGGGCGCAAGCCUGAUCCAGCAAUGCCGCGUGCAUGAUGAAGGUCUUCGGAUUGUAAACUACUUUUAGACGGGACGAAGAGCCCUCUGCUAAUACAGGGGGGUCAUGACGUUACCGUAAGAAUAAGCACCGGCUAACUACGUG